GUGAGGAAUGUUGCGCAAUGGAGGCAACUCUGACGCAGCCAUGCCGCGUGCAGGAAGAAGGCGCUACGCGUUGUAAACUGCUUUUAACCGGGAAGAAACCCCAGGACGUGUCCUGGGUUGACGGUACCGGAGGAAUAAGCACCGGCUAACUUCGUGCCAGCAGCCGCGGUAAUACGAAGGGUGCAAGCGUUAUCCGGAUUCAUUGGGUUUAAAGGGUGCGUAGGCGGAGCGUUAAGUCAGUGGUGAAAUCCUGCAGCUUAACUGUAGACUUGCCAUUGAUACUGGCGCUCUUGAGUGCGCUUGAAGUGGGCGGAAUGUGCCGUGUAGCGGUGAAAUGCUUAGAUAUGGCACAGAACACCAAUUGCGAAGGCAGCUCACUAAGGCGAUACUGACGCUGAGGCACGAAAGCGUGGGGAUCGAACAGGAUUAGAAACCCUAGUAGUCC
rnacentral:rRNA from 1 species